rnacentral:rRNA from 1 species
ACGAACGCUGGCGGCACGCUUAACACAUGCAAGUCGAACGAGAGAAGAGAAGCUUGCUUUUCUGAUCUAGUGGCGGACGGGUGAGUAACACGUGAGCAAUCUGCCUUUCAGAGGGGGAUACCGAUUGGAAACGAUCGUUAAUACCGCAUAACAUAAUUGAACCGCAUGAUUUGAUUAUCAAAGAUUUAUCGCUGAAAGAUGAGCUCGCGUCUGAUUAGCUAGUUGGUAAGGUAACGGCUUACCAAGGCGACGAUCAGUAGCCGGACUGAGAGGUUGAUCGGCCACAUUGGGACUGAGACACGGCCCAGACUCCUACGGGAGGCAGCAGUGGGGAAUAUUGCACAAUGGAGGAAACUCUGAUGCAGCGAUGCCGCGUGAGGGAAGAAGGUUUUAGGAUUGUAAACCUCUGUCUUCAGGGACGAAAAAAGACGGUACCUGAGGAGGAAGCUCCGGCUAACUACGUGCCAGCAGCCGCGGUAAUACGUAGGGAGCGAGCGUUGUCCGGAAUUACUGGGUGUAAAGGGAGCGUAGGCGGGAUCGCAAGUCAGAUGUGAAAACUAUGGGCUUAACCCAUAAACUGCAUUUGAAACUGUGGUUCUUGAGUGAAGUAGAGGUAAGCGGAAUUCCUAGUGUAGCGGUGAAAUGCGUAGAUAUUAGGAGGAACAUCAGUGGCGAAGGCGGCUUACUGGGCUUUAACUGACGCUGAGGCUCGAAAGCGUGGGGAGCAAACAGGAUUAGAUACCCUGGUAGUCCACGCCGUAAACGAUGAUUACUAGGUGUGGGGGGACUGACCCCUUCCGUGCCGCAGCAAACGCAAUAAGUAAUCCACCUGGGGAGUACGACCGCAAGGUUGAAACUCAAAGGAAUUGACGGGGGCCCGCACAAGCAGUGGAGUAUGUAGAUUAAUUCGAAGCAACGCGAAGAACCUUACCAGGUCUUGACAUCGUAUGCAUAGCUCAGAGAUGAGUGAAAUCUCUUCGGAGACAUAUAGACAGGUGGUGCAUGGUUGUCGUCAGCUCGUGUCGUGAGAUGUUGGGUUAAGUCCCGCAACGAGCGCAACCCUUACUGUUAGUUGCUACGCAAGAGCACUCUAGCAGGACUGCCGUUGACAAAACGGAGGAAGGUGGGGAUGACGUCAAAUCAUCAUGCCCCUUAUGACCUGGGCCUCACACGUACUACAAUGGCUGUCAACAGAGGGAUGCAAAGCCGCGAGGUGGAGCGAACCCCUAAAAGCAGUCUUAGUUCGGAUUGUAGGCUGCAACCCGCCUACAUGAAGUCGGAAUUGCUAGUAAUCGCAGAUCAGCAUGCUGCGGUGAAUACGUUCCCGGGCCUUGUACACACCGCCCGUCACGCCAUGGGAGUCGGUAACACCCGAAGCCUGUAGUCUAACCGCAAGGAGGACGCAGUCGAAGGUGGGAUUGAUGACUGGGGUG